AACUUUCAACAACGGAUCUCUUGGUUCUGGCAUCGAUGAAGAACGCAGCAAAAUGCGAUAAGUAAUGUGAAUUGCAGAAUUCAGUGAAUCAUCGAAUCUUUGAACGCACAUUGCGCCCGCCAUCCCCAAAACA
rnacentral:rRNA from 1 species